ACAUCAUAGAGUUCUGUUUGCAGUUCUUCGAGAGACAUCUCUAGUUUACAUACUUCCAAUUCAUAUCUUCUACCCAAUCCUAUAAUCUAGUGUAACAUUGAUGCAUUCCCAUAACCUUUCCUGCACGUGAACCCUCUCUAUUAUUUGCUCCCUGUUUAGGCUCAUUAAUCAAAAAUCUACUCAAAUUUAUUUUUUUCAAUUUUCAUUACAUUCAAAAUCCUCAGACUAUCUUGGCAUAUUGUACAGUUCAGAACUUCAGAUAACUUCCAAAUAUAUUGCUAAUCACCAAUUUA
rnacentral:lncRNA from 1 species